GACGAACGCUGGCGGCGUGCUUAACACAUGCAAGUCGAACGGAAAGGCCCUGCUUUUGUGGGGUGCUCGAGUGGCGAAAGGGUGAGUAACACGAGAGUAACCUGCCCUUGACUUUGGGAUAACUUCAGGAAACUGGGGUUAAUACCGGAUAGGAGCUCCUGCUGCAUGGUGGGGGUUGGAAAGUUUCGGCGGUUGGGGAUGGACUCGCGGCUUAUCAGCUUGUUGGUGGGGUAGUGGCUUACCAAGGCUUUGACGGGUAGCCGGCCUGAGAGGGUGACCGGCCUCAUGGGGACUGAGAUACGGCCCAGACUCCUACGGGAGGCAGUAGUCGGGAAUAUUGCACAAUGGUCGGAAGCCUGAUGCAGCAGCGCCGCGUGCGUGAUGACGGCCUUCGGGUUGUAAACCGCUUUCGCCUGUUACGAAGCGUGAGUGACGGUAAUGAGUAAAGAAGCACCGGCUAACUACGUG
rnacentral:rRNA from 1 species